rnacentral:misc_RNA from 1 species
AAAAGAGAAAGUGACCAAACAAUCAAAAUUCAUAUUAGUGAAACCAUCUUCUAAUGACAUUUAUAUUGCAAUUUCUAACACAGAACAAAGGUGAAGAGGGAAGCUUUCACACCUUGAAAUCCUUUUGGAUUAGCAGAAAACCUAUAAUCCAUAGCCCAAGGACUCUUGUCAAUGCCAAACAGAACAACCUCUCUUGGUCCUCUUUGGAACCUCUCUCAGGCUAGUAGUAUUGCAACACAUUAAUCAACUUUACAAUAGCCUGCUUAGCGAUUUGAUAAGCAUUUUCAAAUUGCGCCUAGUAGCUUCAUCGCCAGUGAAUCCCAAAAUGUCGGAGCUAAUGCUCUCAACAUUCUUCAAAGUGAAGACCAGCGUAUAAAUAGACUUCCGUAUCAAUUCGGUGUUCUCAGGAGUCAUGACCGUGGAGUGCACUCUCCUUAUAUCUUCAGAUGUUAGUGCCAGACUUCGGGUUAAACUCUCAACUUCCUUCAGUAAGCCACUAUCACGAACAUCAGCUAGCAUAGGUUGGACAUCCUCAGCCAUGGCUUUAAUCUUUGUAAGCAGCGGUCGCGCCUCCUCAAUAACAUUUAGAGCUCUCUCAGCCAAAGCAUAGGUAUUCGCCAAACCAAUUUCUUCUGCUUCACGGCCAAGACGUGUGAAUAUUCCAACCAAUGCAUCUAGACUAACCCCUUGUUGUCCUUUAAUCUUUUGCCUGUCGCAAAUUAUCAGACCCUCCUUAACACAAUCCGGAUCCAGGGGCCCUGCAGAAGGUAUUGGGAUUGGAUCUCGAGGUGUGAUAUCAAUCAUGGUUUCCAUGAUAAGACCAGACUGGUUCACCUCAACUAACGAGUUUCGAGGAAUAAUGAUCUUA